rnacentral:rRNA from 1 species
CCCAUAAGAGGGGGAGUAACAUCCGGAAACGGGUGGCUAAUAACCGCAUAGUUUUCUUUGAUUGCAUGAUUGAGAAAGGAAAGAACGGCCUUUGUGCUGUCGCUUAUGGAUGGACCCGCGGCGUAUUAGUUAGUUGGUGAGGUAACGGCUCACCAAGACGAUGAUACGUAGCCGACCUGAGAGGGUGAUCGGCCACAUUGGGACUGAGACACGGCCCAAACUCCUACGGGAGGCAGCAGUAGGGAAUCUUCCGCAAUGGACGAAAGUCUGACGGAGCAACGCCGCGUGAGUGAAAGAAGGUUUUCGGAUCGUAAAACUCUGUUGUCAGAGAAGAACAAGUUGGAGAGUAACUGCUCCAGCCUUGACGGUAUCUGACCAGAAAGCCACGGCUAACUACGUGCCAGCCGCCGC